rnacentral:rRNA from 1 species
GAUGAACGCUGGCGGCGUGCCUAAUACAUGCAAGUCGAGCGAACAGAUGAGGAGCUUGCUCCUCUGACGUUAGCGGCGGACGGGUGAGUAACACGUGGAUAACCUACCUAUAAGACUGGGAUAACUUCGGGAAACCGGAGCUAAUACCGGAUAAUAUAUUGAACCGCAUGGUUCAAUAGUGAAAGACGGUUUUGCUGUCACUUAUAGAUGGAUCCGCGCCGCAUUAGCUAGUUGGUAAGGUAACGGCUUACCAAGGCAACGAUGCGUAGCCGACCUGGGAGGGGGAUCGGCCACACUGGAACUGAGACACGGUCCAGACGCCUGCGGGAGGCAGCAGUAGGGAAUCUUCCGCAAUGGGCGAAAGCCUGACGGAGCAACGCCGCGUGAGUGAUGAAGGUCUUCGGAUCGUAAAACUCUGUUAUUAGGGAAGAACAAAUGUGUAAGUAACUAUGCACUUCUUGACGGUACCUAAUCAGAAAGCCACGGCUAACUACGUG